GAUGAACGCUGGCGGCGUGCUUAACACAUGCAAGUCGAACGAUGAAGCCCAGCUUGCUGGGUGGAUUAGUGGCGAACGGGUGAGUAACACGUGAGUAACCUGCCCUUAACUCUGGGAUAAGCCUGGGAAACUGGGUCUAAUACCGGAUAGGAGCGUCCACCGCAUGGUGGGUGUUGGAAAGAUUUAUCGGUUUUGGAUGGACUCGCGGCCUAUCAGCUUGUUGGUGAGGUAAUGGCUCACCAAGGCGACGACGGGUAGCCGGCCAGAGAGGAUGACCGGCCACACUGGGACUGAGACACGGCCCAGACUCCUACGGGAGGCAGCAGUGGGGAAUAUUGCACAAUGGGCGCAAGCCUGAUGCAGCGACGCCGCGUGAGGGAUGACGGCCUUCGGGUUGUAAACCUCUUUCAGUAGGGAAGAAGCGAAAGUGACGGUACCUGCAGAAGAAGCACCGGCUAACUACGUG
rnacentral:rRNA from 1 species